UACGUAGGGUGCAAGCGUUAUCCGGAAUUAUUGGGUGUAAAGAGCUCGUAGGCGGUUUGUCACGUCUGCUGUGAAAACUGGAGGCUCAACCUCCAGCCUGCAGUGGGUACGGGCAGACUAGAGUGCGGUAGGGGAGAUUGGAAUUCCUGGUGUAGCGGUGGAAUGCGCAGAUAUCAGGAGGAACACCGAUGGCGAAGGCAGAUCUCUGGGCCGUAACUGACGCUGAGGAGCGAAAGCAUGGGGAGCGAACAGG
rnacentral:rRNA from 1 species